GCCUUCGUGGUGUAAUGGUCAGCACAUUGAGCCGGUAUUUCAGAGGUCCGCGGUUCGAUUCCCGGCGAAGGAA
rnacentral:tRNA from 1 species